GAUGAACGCUGGCGGCGUGCCUAAUACAUGCAAGUCGAGCGAACAGAUGAGGAGCUUGCUCCUCUGACGUUAGCGGCGGACGGGUGAGUAACACGUGGAUAACCUACCUAUAAGACUGGGAUAACUUCGGGAAACCGGAGCUAAUACCGGAUAAUAUAUUGAACCGCAUGGUUCAAUAGUGAAAGACGGUUUUGCUGUCACUUAUAGAUGGAUCCGCGCCGCAUUAGCUAGUUGGUAAGGUAACGGCUUACCAAGGCGACGAUGCGUAGCCGACCUGAGAGGGUGAUCGGCCACACUGGAACUGAGACACGGUCCAGACGCCUACGGGAGGCAGCAGUAGGGAAUCUGCCGCAAUGGGCGAAAGCCUGACGGAGCAACGCCGCGUGAGUGAUGAAGGUCUUCGGAUCGUAAAACUCUGUUAUUAGGGAAGAACAAAUGUGUAAGUAACUAUGCACGUCUUGACGGUACCUAGUCAGAAAGCCACGGCUAACUACGUG
rnacentral:rRNA from 1 species